rnacentral:rRNA from 1 species
GACGAACGCUGGCGGCGUGCUUAACACAUGCAAGUCGAACGGAAAGGCCUGUCCUUCCUUGUGUUGGACGGGUACUCGAGUGGCGAACGGGUGAGUAACACGUGAGUGAUCUGCCCCCAACUUGGGUAUAAGCCUGGGAAACUGGGUCUAAUUCCCGAUAGGACUGCAGGGUGGUGCCUGUGGUGGAAAACGAUUUUCUAGUGGUUGGGGAUGAGCUCGCGGCCUAUCAGCUUGUUGGUGGGUUAAUGGCCUACCAAGGCGGCGACGGGUAGCCGGCCUGAGAGGGUGGACGGCCACAUUGGGACUGAGAUACGGCCCAGACUCCUACGGGAGGCAGCAGUGGGGAAUAUUGCACAAUGGGCGGAAGCCUGAUGCAGCGACGCCGCGUGGGGGAUGACGGCCUUCGGGUUGUAAACUCCUUUCGACCGCGAGGAAGCCGCCUGGUUGGAAGGGUGGUGACGGUAGUGGUAGAAGAAGCACCGGCUAACUACGUG